rnacentral:hammerhead_ribozyme from 1 species
AGCCGAAACGCCCUCCUGGGCGUCGCCGGGAACCGCCCCACCCGGCCUGAUGAUGGCAGGGCAGA